AGCGAACGCUGGCGGCAGGCUUAACACAUGCGAGUCGAGCGGGCAUAGCAAUAUGUCAGCGGCAGACGGGUGAGUAACGCGUGGGAACGUACCUUUUGGUUCGGAACAACUGAGGGAAACUUCAGCUAAUACCGGAUAAGCCCUUACGGGGAAAGAUUUAUCGCCGAAAGAUCGGCCCGCGUCUGAUUAGCUAGUUGGUGAGGUAAUGGCUCACCAAGGCGACGAUCAGUAGCUGGUCUGAGAGGAAGAUCAGCCACAUUGGGACUGAGACACGGCCGAAACUCCUACGGGAGGCAGCGGUGGGGAAUAUUGGACAAUGGGCGCAACCCUGAUCCAGCCAUGCCGCGGGAGUGAUGAAGGCCGUAGGGUUGUAAAGCUCUUUUGUGCGGGAAGAUAAUGACGGUACCGCAAGAAUAAGCCCCGGCUAACUUCGUGCCAGCCGCCGCCGUAA
rnacentral:rRNA from 1 species